CGCGUCCUACGGGGGGCAGCAGUGGGGAAUUUUGGACAAUGGGCGCAAGCCUGAUCCAGCUAUUCCGCGUGUGGGAAGACGGCCUUCGGGUUGUAAACCACUUUUGUAGAGAACGAAAAGUCUAUUGAUAAUACCGAUAGAUGAUGACGGUACUCUAAGAAUAAGCACCGGCUAACUACGUGCCAGCAGCCGCGGUAAUACGUAGGGUGCGAGCGUUAAUCGGAAUUACUGGGCGUAAAGGGUGUGCAGGCGGUUUUGCAAGAUGGAUGUGAAAGCCCCGGGCUUAACCGGGGGAAGGCAUACAU
rnacentral:rRNA from 1 species